CGGAAUCUUUCAUUUAGAUGUAAUACCAUUCAUAAAAAAUGUGCGAAACUCAAUAUAUAGUACUUUCAAAAUUUCGACUAACGAUAGAGUGAUAUUUUUGAUACAAAUUUUUCUAAUGCGUGACUCAUUUGAGUCAAUUUAAAAAUCAGUCACUCAAUUGAUACAUUUGGACGAAACGAAUCACCAACUUGAUAUUUAUCCCAAUAAUAAUAAUAAUAUCUUAAUUGCAUUUGAAGGGCCUCAGAGAUCUUGGUGGACAGAUAUCAUCAGAUGGAGCAUAAACCCCAUCAAGAGUAGCAAAUAUCUUUCUUACAUCACCAGCCCACUUUUAAUCAUGAAAAAAUAUUCAAAAAAAAUAAUUUGAAAUAAGGAGAGUUAGAGCAACUCCAACAGCUUACUUAUAUCAUGUCCUAAAUCCAAUUAUAAGGAAUGUGACAUAAAUUAGUGCUCCAGCAGUGUCUUAAGAAUAUGUCCAAUUAUAAGGAAUGUGACAUAAAUUAGUGCUCCAGCAGUGUCUUAAGAAUAUCUUAAAUCACUACGAUCCUCCUUCCAUGCCUUAUUAAUGAGGCACCACUAGCCAUGCCUUAUUUGAUUUCUUUAAUAAAAAAAUCAUCUCUCUCUUAUUGUAACUUAUUUUCUCUCUCUUCCUUCCAUCUUUUAUCAAUCUCUUUCCAAAUUUAUUAUUAUAAUAAUAAUAAGAAAUGAAUUAUAAAGAUCAUUGUUGGAGUUGAAAUACAAAAUCUUGUCCUAAAUCACUAGGAUUCAAUAUUUUAUACUCCCUCCGUCUCCCUGAGUAGUAUACAUUGGGGGACGGGGACGCGGCACGGACUUUAAUGCUCCUGCAAAGUGUAGUUGUGCAAUCUAUUUUUAAAAUUUUUCUUUUCUGAAUUAAAGUUUGGAUGUUAUAUUUUUAUACAAAAAAAGAAAAUCUCAAAAAUAAGUUACGAAACUAUAUUUUAUAAGAGCAUUGAAAUGCGUGUCGAGCAGUUAAAAAGAAAUGUAUAGAAUUAAAUGGGACAGAGGGAGUAAUAUUUAUAAUGAAGACACUAAGACACUGCUGGAGAUGCUCUUAGAUGGUAAACAUGGAUAAUUCAUAGGGAAUAAAAAUGAUUUUUUCAUCACACUUUUCAAGUAUUUUAUAAAAAACAAAUCAAACAAUUUUAUAUACCCUGUCACCAAAGAAUUCUAUUCAGAAAAAUUCAGAGAUAAAGCUAGUAGCAUAUACAUAAAUAAAUACAUAUAUGCUACAUAUCUUUGUCACCUAAGAGAAUCUCCAACUCCAAAAACCCUUAGCUAAAAUUAUACAUGUGACAUCUAGGAGGCAUCUAGAUCACUAGAUAAUACUUAUAAAAAUUAUCUAAAAAUUAUACAACUCCAACCAUGUUUAGUUGACUAUAUUUGUCGAAUCAAAUAAGCCCCGGAAUAUAUUUUUAUACGAGCAAAUUUAUAAAUAAUCUUUUUGAAGCCUAUACAUGUUCUCAUAGCAAAAAAUUUACAUAAUCCAUAUACCCAUCAAUAUAACCAGAGAUUCUCUAACGAUACUUUCGAUGGAACUCGAUUCAGGAAUUGCAAUAGUAGGCUUCGAAAAUACACAAAAUCUUCAUACAAAUCAAAAAAAAAAAUGUAGUUUCCCAACGUCCAAAUGAACCAUUACGAGACGAGUAGCGUGAGAACAAUAUUUUAUAGCAUCACAAGUACAAAUACUUGCAAUUAAAUAAAAAAAAGGAAUUAGUCAAGCAAAUAAAGCACACAAAAGAAAUAUAGACUCGUCACCGUUGUCCAACAUCGAAUUCACUAACGUAAACACUUGUAAAAAUGGAUAUAAGCAUGUUUGUUUGUAAUAUAUAGCUGUUUUUAUGGUCUCCAAACUAAACAGACAGGGAGGAUAUAAAAGAAAAAACAGCACUCUAAAUGUUGCUUCAAGGGAACGAGUCGUUAAGAAACUGAUUUAAUUCUUCGACCAGAUAAAGAAGCCUUUGCUUGUGUCUUGUAUUUUUUAUAAAAGUUUUUUUACCUUGAUCUUUUUUAGUACAAAUUCGGAUCAAUAAUUUUUAUAUUAAAACAAAAAAGAAAUAACCUCACAUGUAUCAUAUCUUUAAAGAUAGACAGUAGUAUUAACUCCAAAUUUUCUUUCAUUUCUCAUUAAAGGCCACAUCUUCAAUAAGUACAUCUACAGUCAUCUUCUACAAUAAUUUUUGACGAAAGAAAAUAAUGUCCACGGAAUGGAUUCAUUAAUUUACAAGUUAUUGUAGUUUUAAAUGGUAUAUCCAUGAUUUUCGAAAUGACAUCGAAUUUAUAUACCAAUGGUUAUUUAUCACCUAUAAAUGGAUAAAAUAGGCCUCAUAAAACAGAUCUCAUUACAAAUUAAAGUGCCACAUUCAAAAAUUAUCUGUUCUCAAAAGAUUUAACUACAACAAUAUGAUUCUUCAAAAAAAAAAACACUAUAACAAUAUGAGAAAUUAUUACAUCCAGCAAAAAAUAUUCAAAAACAUUAGUAUUUGUUCAACUUCAAUAAGCAGGCAGCAACUUAAGGACUUGGUGAAUUAAGCAAGAACUUUCUAACACCAAUGUAGCAGUCAGUUUCAAAGUCACUCACAAAGAAGUAAAAAUUCAUAUAACAUAUAUAUAAUACAAUUCAAAAAAAAAAAAACAAUUAACAUAUUAACUGCAUUAGAAGGGCCUCAGAGAUCUUGGUGGAUAGAUAUCAUCAGAUGGAGUUUAAACUCCAUCAAGAGUAGCAAAUAUCUUUCUUACAUCACCAGCCCCAUUUUAAAUAUCAAAAAAAAUAUUCGAAAACAAUAAUUUGAAAAGGAGAGUCAGAAGUAGCUGGUUGGUAAACAUGGAUAAUUCAUAGGGAAUCCGAAUGAUUUUUUCAUCACACUCUCCAAAUAUUUUACACAAACACAAUUCAAACAAAUGUAUCUACCUUGUCACCAAAGAAUUCUAUUGAGAAUAAUUCGGAGCUAAAGGUAGAAGCACAUACAUAUAUAAAUACAUACAUACUACACAUCUCUAUCGCCUAACGAUAGAUCCCUUAAAUCCACCCGAGUUGGAAUUCGAUUCAGGAAUUGCAAUAUUAGGCUUCAAAUAUACAAAAAAAAAAAAAAAAUCAUACAAAUCAAAUACAAAAAUGUAGUUUCCCAACGUCCAAAUGAACCAUUACGAGACGCACCGGAUAGCGAGGGGAACAUUUAUUCUAGCUUCACAUGAACAAAUAUUUGCAAUUAAAUGAAAUAACAGCAAAUUAAUCAGGAAAGUAAAGCACACAGAAUAAAUCAAAAAAAAAAUAAAGGAGGAUAGAACAACUCAGUCCCUUAGAUGUUCAUUAAAAUUGCGAUCAUAUUCGCACAUCAUUACAGGUCUGUAUAGACUCAUCACCGUUGUCCAACCUCGAAUUCACUAACGUAAGAACUUGUAAGAACAGAUAUAAGCGUGUUUGUUUGUAUGUAUAUAGCUGUUUUGAUGAUCUCCAAACUAAACAGAGAGACAGGGAGAAUCGAAAGAAAAAAACAGCACGCUAAAUGUUGCUUCAAGGGAACGAGUCGGUAAGAAACUGAUUAAUUCUGCCGACCAGAUAAAGAAGCCUUUGGAAAACCAGAUCUGUGAAACAGAAGAUUAGUUACAUGAGAGAGAUAGCGGCGAGAAGAAUGAAAAUAUUAGAACCCUAACUGAGAUUGUAUUGUGCGGAUAGAUGUGAAUUCCAUGUGGCGAGAGGCUUUUGUUUAUAUAGACCAAGCCUGUCACACCUUGGGCUAGGUUACGGUCUUUUUUCUGGUCCAUUGGGUUUGUGGUGUCUCCAGGCCCAGUUUAAGAGAUUAAAGUUGUUUACCUCAUGGCUCAUGGGCCUGUCUACCUUCUUCAGAUAAAUACGCGAGAUAUUUAAUUGAUAUAAUUUAUAUCAAUAUAUUAUAUUUAAUUAAACUCUAACGCAUAAUAUUAUUUUAUGAAAAUUUUUACGCCAAAUUCAACACUAGUAUAAAAUUUUCACUUGAUUUUCAGAAGUCAGUUACGACUUACGACAGACAUGGGAACACCGAACUGCAGCACGUAUAUACGUGUCAAAUUCCAAUAGCCCGCAGCAGACACGUGGAAUUAGCUCUACUUGCGGCUGUUGUUUUUGUUAUGACUCAGCUACUGGUGCCUAAAUGAAUAUACCUUGAUUGGAAAACGACAACUUUUCAACAUAUGGGAUGUCCCAAGUUUUUGGAGCCUCGUUACUACUUUAAAUGGAAACCUCAACCAGAUGCAUGUACAAUUCUUAACUUGAACAACUUAAUCAUGUGCGGAAUUCUAGCAGUUUUGGGUUGCUCUGAUGAUUCUCAGGCCAAAAGGGCUCGUGUUCUUGAGCUCUCCCGCAGGUACUUUUCUACCCACAAUUCAUUAUUUUUUUCUAAUCUCUGAAGUUUUGUUAAAAAUCAGUAAAAAAUUGAUAUUCAGUGCUGUUCAACUCUUGGCUGAACUCCAAAAUUUGAAUAUGUAAUUUGCUGGACCAAUCUUGUUUUAGCCACUGUUUGUAUGAACAUAUGUGUACAAUCAUAUCACAUACUUCUUAAUUUGUGAACUAUUCAGUGUAGCUUGUAAAUUUAUUAGUUAGUAUAGAAGAGAGUCAGAGGCAAAUGUGGUUGAUGCUGAUUUUUAGCUUAUAAUCUUCAUGGAGCACAGACACAAUAAGUUGAUUUAUGUUGCAUAAUCAAACAGACUGAAGCACCGUGGCCCGGAUUGGAGUGGUCUUUACCAGUAUGGUGACUCUUACUUGUCUCAUCAAAGGCUGGCAGUUGUUGAUCCUGAUUCUGGUGAUCAGCCUCUCUACAAUGAAGAUGAAAAGAUUGUGGUCACCGUAAGUCUUUAAGUAAACCUGUUCAAGUAUUCAUUCUUCAUAAAAUUCAAUGUCUUUAUGUAUAUUAACGAAUGUGUUCUGUUUCUGAAACCAGGUGAAUGGAGAAAUAUACAACCACGAGGAACUACGAAAGAGUUUGCCUAAUCACAAAUUCAGAACGGGAAGCGAUUGUGAUGUUAUUGCUCAUCUUGUAAGUGGUGCCCCAAGGAAAUUCUAUAAUUAGAAGUGAAUGGUUGAAAAGAAUUAACAAACAACUCAUUUUGCUGGACAUGAAUAUAAAUCUUUUCCUCCUAAAUCGGAAUAAUCUUUUAAUUACACUUACCUCGGAUGAAAUUUCAGUUUGCAAUGAUUUAACUAAUUUAUGUUAAUGGAAUUUGCUUGCAUUAGUAUGAAGAGCAUGGUGAGAACUUUGUGGACAUGUUAGAUGGAGUGUUCUCCUUUGUGUUACUGGAUACCAGCGAUAAUAGCUUCCUUGCUGCUCGCGAUGCUAUUGGGAUCACUUCGCUAUAUAUUGGUUGGGGACUUGAUGGUAAUCUCUUCUGGUUAAGUUAAAAAUUUGAGAUAAUUGGAGAUGAAAAAUGAUACUUUAUAAAAAAAGAAGAAAAAUUAUACUUUGAAUUAGUUCUAUAAUAUGAUUUUAUUUCCUGUCUUUAGGAUCAAUAUGGAUUUCUUCUGAAAUGAAAGGCUUAAACGAUGACUGCGAACACUUUGAGGCCUUUCCGCCAGGACACUUGUAUUCUAGCAAGAGAGGAGGUCUUAAAAGAUGGUACAAUCCCACUUGGUUCUCUGAAGCAGUUCCAUCAGCUCCAUAUGAUCCAAUUGUUCUAAGAAAUGCAUUCGAAAAUGUGAGGCUCUUUUGUAUAAUUAUAUUACAAUCAUGAUAAUAUUGACGAGCAUAGGCUUACAAUGAUAACUAAUGUCAUGUAUACAAAUAUCUGCAGGCUGUGGUCAAAAGACUGAUGACUGAUGUACCAUUUGGAGUUUUGUUAUCUGGUGGUCUUGACUCAUCGUUAGUUGCUUCCAUUGCAGCUCGUCAUUUUGCAGGCACUAAAGCUGCCAAACUAUGUGAAACACAGCUUCAAUCCUUCUGUGUUGGCCUUGAGGUAUACCUGUUGCUUUAAUGACAGAUAACUGUAAAUUGUUUUAAAGUACUUUAGUCUUCCCUAUGCUUCACAUCAUUUAUGGGACAGGGAUCACCAGAUUUGAAGGCUGGAAAGGAAGUUGCUGAUUAUUUGGGAACUGCUCACCAUGAGUUUCAUUUCACUGUCCAGGUAUUUGACAAACCACUGUAUAUCAUGCUUAUUGCAUCUAGGUAUUAUUAUAAUUGACGAGGUCUAGUUUUAAUUAGUUCUUACUCGGCAGGAUGGCAUAGAUGCAAUUGAGGAUGUUAUUUAUCAUAUUGAAACUUAUGAUGUAACGACAAUUAGAGCCAGCACUCCUAUGUUUCUUAUGUCACGUAAAAUCAAGUCGCUAGGAGUGAAAAUGGUCAUUUCCGGUGAAGGUUCUGAUGAAAUUUUUGGGGGAUACUUGUACUUUCACAAAGCUCCCAACAAAGAAGAAUUUCACCGCGAGACAUGUCAGAAGGUAAUAGACUUGAUUAUUUUUAUUAUAUUUUAUUAUUAUAGAAACAGUUCUGUUUAAGAGUAUAAAUUCUCCACUGAAGAAAUUAUUGUUAUUGCAUUUUAAUAUGCAGAUAAAAGCCCUCCACCAAUAUGAUUGCUUGAGAGCAAACAAAGCAACAUCUGCUUGGGGUUUAGAAGCUCGGGUUCCGUUUCUGGAUAAGGAAUUCAUCAAUGUUGUAAUGAGUAUUGAUCCUGAGUGGAAGAUGGUAACGAACAACUUCCAUCCUGCUGUCUUGUUUUCAAUAACUAUUGCUUGCCAAAUUAGAGACUUCAUUGGCGAAAUAGAGAACUUCAGUUUAGAUAUGAAUGUGUCCUCAUAUUUCAGAUUAAGCCGGAGGAAAAACGAAUCGAGAAGUGGAUACUGAGGAAGGCCUUUGAUGAUGAAGAACAUUCUUAUUUGCCUAAGGUUUGAACAAAUGACUUGCCUUUGUUUACAUAACUAUCUGUUGAUCAGAGCAAGCUGUGAUGGAUGUAUUAUUGUGUUUCACAGCAUAUUCUAUAUAGGCAGAAAGAGCAGUUUAGUGAUGGUGUUGGCUACAGUUGGAUCGACGGCCUUAAAGCUCAUGCUGAACUACAUGUAUUGCAUCCUCUCUGAACUUAUUAAAUAUUUUCAUUAUUGGCAUCUGAAAUAAGCUCAUUCUGAAUACCAUUCAGGUCAGUGACAAAAUGAUGCUGAAUGCUCCUAAUAUCUUCCCGCACAAUACCCCUGCCACAAAGGAAGCAUAUUACUACAGAAUGAUUUUUGAGAGAUUCUUUCCACAGGUGAUUGAGAUUAGUUACAUUGUCAUAAAUAGUACAACGUUUCAAGUCAAUUAGAAGUUCUGGUAACCUAUUCGUCUAUGUAUUUAAUUUGUUGAAGCAGAAAUCAGCAAUAUUGACCGUCCCUGGUGGAGCAAGCAUAGCUUGCAGUACAGCAAGGGCUGUUGAGUGGGAUGCUUCAUGGUCAAGUAACCUUGAUCCGUCUGGUCGGGCUGCACUUGGGAUCCAUGAUUCAGCAUAUGAGACAAAAUUGUCAUCCACUGUGAACACUAAUUUGGCUACAAAGAUUGUUGACACUGUGCCUCAGAUGAUGGAACGAAGCUCAACCCAAGUCACGAUUCAAAGCUAGUUCUCCCAUUUCGGGGAAUCCACUUAUGUGAUAGAGUUGAUCUAUCUGCAUAGAAGUUGAAGCAAGUAUCUAAUAUAUGCAGCUAUGUGAACUAUGCAGGCGCCAUGCAGAGUGAAUAAACUACCUAUUUUUGGUAAUGCUCGUUCUAUAGGUAAGACUCUGGUGGUGCGCGCGUUAUUCUUCAAGCAGUAUGUUCUUUGUAAGUUGUGCAUCUUGUUCAAGCCUCACCUACAAAUCUUGGACCUUUGAUGUUUAUAUUUUCCUGUUGGAUCAAUCUAGUAUGUUUGGUGGUUCUAUCAGACUCUGGUCCUGUAAGUUGUAAUGGCAGUUUACACUUUGUUAGUGCCCAAGCCUGAAGCCUGGUUUGUAUCUUUACUGCUUUGCAUUAUUAUAUUCCUGAGAAAUAUCUUACAACUUGUGACAAUAGUGCAGUUGAUUACUCUCUAUAAAUUUUUGGUUCUUAUCUUAAACUCUCCCCACAUGAAAAAUGUUUAAUUUUAUUAAAAUACCGAAAGUGAUACUUCCAUAACAUGCAAAUGUUACUGCUUGCCAGUUGCAAGUCAUUUUCAUUGAUAGUCACUUAUAUUGACCAAGCCUCUGGCAUAAUAUAAACAAGACACGAGUCCGUGAACAACACAGCUUCUUAGAAGUUAUUUCUUUAGAUUAUGAAAAUAAUACAUCUCCAGAUUUCUUUUUCUUGGAGAAACAGAGUGAACAUUACAGCUAUAUAAACAGAUAUAUUUUUAUGUAAACAGCCUCUAUUUUAGAUCAUAUGAUAUUUAGAAAAAUUAAUGAGAAAACAUGACUAGAUACAAAUGGUAAUAUAGUGAGCUAAAUCAUUGAUAAAACAGUGCAGUAUAGAAGAGCUGAUUCCAAGUAUCAGGUAAUCCAGGGAGGCACCAGUGACUACAAUCAGCAGAAUGGUCAGGAUUGGCUCUCUGUUCCGGGCUCAAAUCGCCACUGUAAAUAGACGGAUGCGCGUCUUUACGCAUAGCAGAGAGCAUAGUUAUGUCAAGUAUAUAAGCUGGGUUACUCAUGUUCCUUAUCACUGCAUCAAGGACCUUCAUUUGGCCUGGAUACGCGCCUGGGUAAGCUGUGCCACUCAUUGGUGUUUUCUCACCGUAGCAACUUUUGGCCACUGAGGUUGCGCCUGCACUCCACUCUGACGGGCUGCAAAUUCAAUCAAAUCACGAUCAUUAUCUUGUAUAAAUGGCCGUUCUUACAAUCAGUUGUGAUCAAGGGACUAAGCUUAAACUCAAUCACGGUUAUGCAAACAACAAAAUGUUCAACAGAAAAUGCCUAGUAGAUCAAGUCAAUCUCAAUUAAAUGUAUAUAAAAAGAUAAAUUCGAAUCAAACUAGGUCAAUAAAAGAAAGGAUCGGAACAAAUGCAUUUGGGUGAAUAUUGUAUUGGCUGUACAAUUUAUUUGUCACUAUCAGGCAAGUUCACAUGUGAGUAUAUCACCGACGAAACAAGUGGUUAAAAAUAGGACUAAAUAACAGAGCAAAAAGAGCGGCUCCAUUUUCUUUUUCGAUGGAGACAGAUUUAACAGCAAGUGAUCACUGCCCCCAUAAUCUGUACAAUUAUACAUAUCAUCUCUGAUAUGCAAGGUCGACUUCAUAUUUUACUUUACUAUAUGAGGACAUAAAUCCAAAGACUUUGGUGAUGCCUCUCCAAAGUCCUAUUUAUUUUUCACUAGUAGGUGAUAAGUGAGUAUAACAUUAAGGGGGCGUAUUCAACUGGAAUUUCGGGUUUGAUCAUCGUAACUUUGCAUUAUCUUUAUUUAAGUUUCCCACCUAAUGGGAUUUGAAUUUAGAAAAGAUGGCGAACUGGAGACAGGCUGCAAUGUAGGGAAAGCAAUGAAUAAGGAAAGUUAUGGACUAGUCAGUUGAGAAAGUGGAUUAGGUAAUAAUCAUAGGCCCGGCCAUUGGCAAGUUGCAUUCUAAUUAGUGAUUACAGCUACGAUGUUGGACCCUGCAAUCCCCAGUUGGUCCUUUUUGUUUUUUAUCUCCUUGUCUGUGUGUUGUGUAGGGAUGACAAUCCUGAUCCGAGCUAGACCCCUUUAUCAAGAGUAACAAAAUCCGAAAAUGACGCGAAGAUAACUUGAGUAGUAACGGAAUGACACAUUUAUGUAAUAAUUAUUACUUCGAACUAAUAGCACAAGUUCAUCAUCAAGUUUAAAAAUAUCAGAAGAACGAGAAUUUAACACAUUUACGACCAAGAACACGACCUGAAAGUUAAAACUGACGCAUCUAAGUUUAUGUGCGUUAUAUGCAGGAUUUAAAGAUAAAGAGGUGAGUAGGGAUAAAGGAAAAAGUAUAUAUCUAUGAACAUACUUGUAGUGUGUGGGAGAGAUGGAUUGAAAGAAAACUCUGGUUUUGCUUUUGUCAACAUUUGCAUCAACCCAUUUUGCCCAUGUCCUCAGUCCUCUUUCUAAGGCAACCAAUCGUUCCAUAUCUUGGUACAACUGCCCCUCCGCUUCCAUAUAGUCCCACCUGCAUAUUUAACAUGGCACACUUUUACCCCCUCUUCUCUAUAAAAUCGCAAUUCUAACUUCAUUUACAGAAACAAUCAAACAGCAAGUCGUUUACAAAAUUGUUAAAACUUAGAGCUAUAACUAUGAUGGCCCAACCAAAUAAUGUUCAUGUCCAAAGGGUCAUUUAUUUAUUUAAAUGCUUCUGUGCUCUUAAAACGAACUCAAUUCCACCAAGGCAAACUUAAUGUGUCCAUAUAAUUUGAUCACCUAACAAGUUCUCGAUUUCUCCUAGCUGUCUACAUUAAAGUUUUCCCAGUACGUGAAGCUCCAGCAUGCCAACUAAAGAGACAUAUAUACUAGCAAGGCUUAAAACUCCUUUAUAACAAUUUGAUUAGGGAAGAAUUAUCUGUGUCAACAAUUUACACAAGUUUUUAUGUACCAUGAACAUGCUUCUAUAAGGUCCACAAUUAAGGUCUGUGUGAAUAUUUAAAUUUCCGUAAAUUCAUCCAAAACCAAAAAAGACUAAAUUAGCAAGGAAUAAUUUGUUGGCACACAAGGUAGGCUAUAACUUGCUCACCCUUGAAGAGAUCCUUUGUGUGUCCACCAGUGACCCGUAUUAAACGACAGCACAUCUGCAUUUUUCCAGGCACCUCCAUUUUUCGACAUAUCUUCCAAUUUCAAUAUUCUUUUUCCUUGCACUAAAUCAAUAUCCACCAAAUAGGGUGCUCUGUAAAACUGAACUGCCACACCAUACUCCUGCAACAUACCAUAACAAAACCCCAAUUAUCCCCUGUUUGGAUGGCUCCAUUAUUCCAACCAAUCAUCAUGAUCAAGUCGACCAAAUAAAUAAAGCAAAUGCAUAGUAAUUAGUAUAGCAUGCUUUUGUAGAAACUUACAAUAAACUUAAAGCUUGAGAAAGGAUCUCCCCUAAUGAACUGAGUUGGUGAACGAGGCACACUCGCUGAUAUCAUACAUAUCAGUGAUUCCCAUUGGUUUCGGCCUAAUGAAUCACCCACAAACAUUAUAUUCUUCCCUCUCAUUUUUAUCAAAAACUCCUCCCCGUCAAACCUGCUUAUACAAACACGUCAGAAUAAUAUACG
rnacentral:lncRNA from 1 species